rnacentral:rRNA from 1 species
GCUCAUCGCAUCCUGGGGCUGUAUUCGGUCCCAAGGGUUUGGCUGUUCGCCAAUUAAAGCGGUACGCGAGCUGGGUUCAGAACGUCGUGAGACAGUUCGGUCCCUAUCUGUCGUGGGCGCAGGAUAUUUGAAAGGCGCUGUCCCUAGUACGAGAGGACCGGGAUGGACGCACCUCUGGUGCACCUGUUGUCGUGCCAACGGCACAGCAGGGCAGCUAUGUGCGGUUCGGAUAAACGCUGAAAGCAUCUAAGCGUGAAGCCGUCCUUAAGAUAAGAUAUCCCAUCGCGUAAGCGAGUAAGACCCCUUGUAGACUACGAGGUUGAUAGGCUCAAUGUGUAAGCGUCGCGAGGCGUUUAGCUUGCGAGUACUAAUCGGUCGAGGGCUUAACCUU